GCCGCGAUGGUGGAAUUGGUAGACACGCUGGUCUUAGGAACCAGUGCUUAUGGCGUGGGGGUUCGACUCCCUCUCGCGGCA
rnacentral:tRNA from 1 species